rnacentral:rRNA from 1 species
AGGACGACGCUGGCGGCGUGCCUAACACAUGCAAGUCGAACGGAGAUUAAUGGAGCUUGCUCUAUUGAUCUUAGUGGCGGACGGGUGAGUAACGCGUGAGCAAUCUGCCUUUAAGAGGGGGAUAACGUUUGGAAACAAACGCUAAUACCGCAUAACGUAUCGGAGCGGCAUCGCACUGAUAUCAAAGGAGCAAUCCGCUUAAAGAUGAGCUUGCGUCUGAUUAGCUAGUUGGUGAGGUAACGGCCCACCAAGGCGACGAUCAGUAGCCGGACUGAGAGGUUGAACGGCCACAUUGGGACUGAGACACGGCCCAGACUCCUACGGGAGGCAGCAGUGGGGGAUAUUGGUCAAUGGGGGAAACCCUGAACCAGCAACGCCGCGUGAAGGAAGAAGGCCUUCGGGUUGUAAACUUUUGUCUUCAGGGAAGAAAAAAUGACGGUACCUGAGGAGGAAGCCACGGCUAACUACGUG